GGGCUGUGGGCACGGCCCCGAGUGCCGGAGUUCAAGAAGCGUUUGGACGCCGCUUUCAGACACAGGGUUUGUUUUUGUGUGAUGCUGAGUGGAGCCCGGGGUUGAUCCCUCUGUGUCCGUACCGACGCGGGCUGUGCCGUGGCCGUGCGGGUCCGUCCCGUGGCGUUGCGGCGGAGCCGGGCAGCACCGUCGCUCCGAACAGAGCUGUGGGGCCGCGUGCUGUUGGUUGGACAAAUGCUGCCCCGAGCAGACUCACAGAAGUCGCAGGCGUGGUGUAAUGCAUUGAAGUAAUGCGCUCCUGGAGGUAUUUCGGAGGGGUGUGGAUGUGGUGCAUCAGGACGUGGUGCAGCAAUGGAUCCGGCAGUGCUGGGCAGUGCUUGGACUCAUCUUCUGAAUCCUUUUCAUCAUAAAAGAUCCCGUGAUUCUGCGACUUACCAACAGAGAUAAAUAUUGCUAAGCACAGGAAAAACCCACCCGUGGCUUUGCCAGGAUCGUGCAGCACAGAGCGCAGUGGCUCACGUAGGAGAGGUGCACUCACUGCCUGCAGGACCAGCACCGUCUCUCCGUUCAGUGCUGCUUGUCUUUAAAAACAGCCAAAAUUCAGCAAUGAGCUGCGCUGUCCCCUUGGCCAGUGUCAGUCCCCUCGGUUACACCCUCGCAGCUGUGCUGCAGCUGUGCUCCCAAAGCCACCCCUCCUUUGCUGUUUUCUCCACAGCACCACUCAGCUGAGCACAGCUCCUCUUUGACCUGGCACAUCACUGACACAUCCCCAGCACUAUCCCUGACGCAAUUGCUGGCACAUCCCUGCCACAUCCUUAACACAUCCCUAACACAUCUUCUACACCAUCCCGGGCACAUCCCUAGCAGAUCCCUGGCACCACCUCCUGCCCAUCUCUGGCAUAUUCCUGACCCAGAACAAGCAUCAGGCUUGCACAAGACAGCCAGGAGCUGCUGUUAGCUCUGGCAGCCAGGAGAAGCGUGGCACUGCCUGCCUUCCCUGCAGGAUGCUGCCUCCCGCCCCUCAGCAGGAUAGGAUCCCUGCCCGUGGCAGCUCGAGCUCUGUGUUCACCAGGUGUUGGUUUUGGGAGCAUUCACUGGCCCGGCCACCCGUGGCAUUUCUUGUGUCGCUGGAGGGUGCUGCUGUUCACUGCACAGGCACGGCUGGAAUGGCCCCUGUCACCGUUUUGGCUUGGGCCAGCAUGUGGUUCCCAAAUAACUCUUGGGUUUGGGGUGUGCCUGCAGUCACAGUGUCACCGCCAGCCCCACUGUGCCCGGCUCAGCACAGCUCUGGGGGCUCAGGAGGGGCUGGGGGGCCAUUUUCUCACUUCCCCACAGAUCUCAAAGCUCCAAGUGAAAUGUCGGCAGUGCUCCUUUGGGAAAUAGGUACUGCUGCUGACAGAUCCCUCAGAGAAGGUGGGAGCUGGUUUUGCAGAGGGAAGCAAAUUUUGCUAACCAAAGCUGCUCCAUCCUGAUGACUAAUUGAUUCUGUCUUCCGCCCACACACCACGUACAGCUCGUAACACAGAGGAGUCAGCCACAAAGGGAAAAGGAGGCAACCGUCUGUCUUCCAAGCCCAUCCUUUGCCCAGAAGUGCUGGGAAUGGGUUCUCAGGGCCUCGUCUCCCCGACGCCCCUCAGACCCAGAGAACAACAACAUCAGCAAUGAGUGCCCAUCACAGGGCAGCAAGCAGCCAGUGGGGUGCCCGGCCAUCUUGUACCAUGGCUCAGAAGAGGAACUGAUGGCCAGCAUUGAGCGAGAGUACGGCUGCUGAGCUCCACACAUGGGGCAUGGCUGGAGCAGCAGAGCUGCCAGCAGGAGAAUGCAAUGCCUGGGAUGGUGAGGAGGAGUGCAAGGAGCAAGACCAGAAAAAGCACACCUUGUGAACCAGUAUCUCAAAGCUCCUCUUGAAAUGACGUUUUUACCAGAUUUACUAGUUUUGUUGAGAUGUGGUGCUUUGAGGGAAGAAGACCUUUGCUUUGUCCUGGCAGUAAUAAAGUGCAGCAAAAUCAUUCAGUAUAGAUCUGACUUUGGGAGUCUGCUGUGAAAUGCAGCAAGCUCUGAUGCAUUUCUGCUCCCUGGCAGAAAAAUCGCUGUGUUGUAUCCUUAGCUGAUCCAAAGUAAAACAGAAAGGCUGGAUCUCGGAAGAAAAUAAUGUUUUCUGUGCUCCCCAGUAGGGAAGCCUGGUGUUGUAGGGUUUCUGCCUUUGUUUUACCUGCAUCUUAAUGUAUCGUGAGUAGCUGCUUCUUAUCAGAAGUAGAAAAAUACCUAAUUUCUAUCUUUAGCUGAAGCAUUCAAGAUGUCAGAUGAAAUAGAGUGUGAAUGCAAGAAGAAACAGCAGGACACAUCUUAAGAUGCUGUAUUAUGACGUCUUCGUCAUUCCAGAUAUUUGUGAAAGAGAAAUAUAUGCAUCUGUAUUGUAUGUACCUUUCAAUAAAGGCAACAGUGGUUUUGAA